rnacentral:rRNA from 1 species
UACGAAGGGGGCUAGCGUUGUUCGGAUUUACUGGGCGUAAAGCGCACGUAGGCGGAUCGAUCAGUCAGGGGUGAAAUCCCAGGGCUCAACUCUGGAACUGCCUUUGAUACUGUCGAUCUGGAGUAUGGAAGAGGUGAGUGGAAUUCCGAGUGUAGAGGUGAAAUUCGUAGAUAUUCGGAGGAACACCAGUGGCGAAGGCGGCUCACUGGUCCAUUACUGACGCUGAGGAGCGAAAGCGUGGGGAGCGAACAGG